CCGCCGCCGCGGGAUCGCGCCCCUCCCCCAGCCCCCGGCCCCUCCGGCCCGCGGGGAGCGGACGCGCGCGCGGCUGCUCGAGAGAAUCACUGAAUUUCAAAGCCAGAAAGGAUUUCGAAGAUCAUCCAGACGGCUCCUAGAGGAAUUUGUGGUCCUGGGUUAUUAAGCACCUUGAAAAGAACUAUGUGCAUCUCUUGGAUACCCUCUCCCAAGCAGGUCGGAUGGAUUUUCAGUGCCAAGUUGCCUAAUUCUGAACUGCCAGUGCACCGUCUCUUUGCAGAGAAAUUCAGCUUCCCGCUUGGAUGUUUCUUCAGAACAAGGAGGAGAAGUGAAAAAGUAGAGGACUCAAGUUAGAAGAUCCGUGUUCUGGAGUCAACUUAGCAGAAGCAUUGAUUGGGGUAUCACCUCACUGGCGCAUGUUUGUUAACCUCCUUUUGGGUUCCAGGCCCCCCUGAUAAUCUAAAGAGAACUUUGACACCCUCCUUCACCCUGAAGAGUGUACGCACACCCAAACACAUUAAAUUGUGCAUUUGAUGUCGUUGGAGGGAGAUCCCUGGACCUCAUCGAAACCUCAAGGACCCUUGGCUAAGAAGCUCCACAAGGCUUGUUACUAGUGUACUAGAAUAUCCAAGUGGCAGGUUUUGGAGUCAGAGUGCAGGGGUCUGAAUCGCUCCUCUGCCGCUUGCUGGCUUGUUGAACUUGGGUAAAUUAAUUAUCUCCUCUAAGUCUCGGUUUCCCCAGCUAUAAAGUCGGGAGAAGGACAGUACUUACCUCAUAGGCUAGUUGUGAAAUUAGAUGAGGUAAUAUUUGUCAAAUGCCUAUGUUGCGCUAUUACUGUUUAGCUUACAGAAUGCCCCACUGCCCUCUGGAGGAAUCCCACCUUGGUAGCAAGAACUUGUGCUGUGUUAUUUGAGAGCAAACAGUAUUUGGACUGAGACCAUGAGGCUUUCCUUUGGAUGGGGGGGGGAGUGGCUCCCUGACAUACCUCUGGGAAAUUUGGAGAGUUGGACAGCUUUGGAGCAAGGCUUCUAGAAGCCCUCGCGGCCCAGCUGCUCCCGUUCAGUAAUUUCCAUGUGCCAUUGUUGGUUUUGGCUCCAAGCUGAAGAUCCCUGCCUCUGGAGCUUCCCUGAAACUAGACGCCCGACCCAGAGGAGCAGGGAGGAGGAGAAGGAAGAACAGAGAAGCAGACUUUUUUUUCCUCUCCUUAAUUAACUCUGGCUCUUUUGCUCCCUGGGCUUUUGGGCUCUCGCAGCCCCAGCAAUUAGUGGGAGUGUUAACUGGGGUCAGGGCAGAGGCCGGCCUUCAGGGAACUCCCGGGGACAGUACUGGGGAGAAGGAGGUGCCUCUCAGGCAGGAAUGAGGGCUUUGCCUCUGGCCGCCUGGGCCGCUGCCCCCUUUUAGCUGAGCCACCCCCAGUUCCAGCCCCAAGUUCAGGCUCAGCUGUUCCGGGAGAAUAGCGAGGAGCUAAAGGAUUCCAAACCUCGGCCCCCACCUACCGGGCCUUAAUUACAUCAACGCACAAAGCCGGGGUGGCUGCUCAGCCUGUCCUGGUGAACAAUCGCAUCCUGUUCUCACGGCCUGUUUUCCCCCAGCUGCGCCUCUCUUUUAUCUCGGCCUCUUUCCCAGGGACGUGGGGCUCAUUCCCAGGAGGCCAGAAUCUGGGUUCUAACCUUCUUACUUCUUCCCUAGUCUCGCUGGUUUUGUUUACUCCUUUCUCCCUUUCCCUUUCCCCUCUGGUUCAGAAGCCCCAUCCUAUGUUCCUGAGGCAGCCCCAUCCGGUCCUGUUUUAGAGUGUGUGGGUGAAGGGCUUGAAAAAAAAGGCGUGUGUCUGUUUUUGCUUCUAAUUUGCAUGUUGUCAUGAGAGAGAAGCAAAAUGCCCCCGCUUUAUAAUGACGCCCCACUAGUCAUAAUGACACCUUCCAUUUGUUUAGAAUUUGAUAGUCUUAGAAGUACCAUUGCCUGCAUUUCUCGUGGAUCCGCACACACUUUGACGCAGUAGCGAGGAUGGGUACCGCUUACACCUAGUUUAGGGGAGUGAAGUGCCUUGGCAGCGGCCCCAUGGCUAGGAGGCCACAGAACAGGGACAAAACCCGGGUCUGGACCCCGGGCCCUUCCUACCUCCUUGACUUCCUGAGUGUGGGCCUUUUUCAGUCCGCCCCAGGGUCUCAGCAGAAACGCCUUGGGCAGGAGGACGUCCAGGGCCCCCGCCCCCCACCCCGACGCCCCGUCAGUGAUGGUGAACUUGAGCUCCUUGCCAUGAUGAGCUGUGAGCUGCGAGUGAGGGGCCCCUGAGAACUGGCAUUUCUGGUCUCUCCACUUGACUCUGCCCCUUCUCCAGCUUCAAGGGACAAGGACAUCAAUUUUCUUUUCCUAUUUUACUGUUGCUAUUCAAGAUACUUAGGUCUUUAAAAGCUCCAGAGGGCUUCCCUGGUGGCGCAGUGGUUAAGAAUCCUCCUGCCAAUGCAGGGGACACGGGUUCGAGCCCUGGUCCGGGAAGAUCCCACAUGCCACGGAGCAGCUAAGCCCGUGUGCCACAGCUACUGAGCCUGCACUCUAGAGCCCGCGAGCCAUAACUACUGAAGCCCGCAUGCCACAACUACUGAGCCUGCACUCUAGAGCCCGCAAGCCACAGCUACUGAGCCCGCAAGCCACAACUACUGAAGCCUGUGCGCCUAGAGCCCGUGCUCUGCAGCAAGAGAAGACGCCGCAACGAGAAGCCCACGCACUGCAAUGAAGAGUAACCCCUGCUCGCUGCAACUAGAGAAAGCCUGCGAGCAGCAACGAAGACCCAACGCGGCCAAAAAUUGAAAAAAAAAAAAAAAAUCUCCAGAGAAGGAGCUUCUCUAGUCCUGUCCACAUUCCAGUGUCUCCUGGCCCUGGCCCGCAGCCCAGGCAACUGACCCUGUGAUGGGGACGUCUCAGUAAGCAGGACCUGUGGAAGCCGCUUCCUGGACCUGGGCUUCCCUGCCCAGUUGGGUGACAGGCCUGCAACCCAUCCACAAGGCAGCAAAGCACAGGCAGCUGGGAGGAUCUUUGCUUGCAGAACCCGGCCUGGUUCAGGCGGCACAGCCCCUGUAAUUAGUGUUGUUUUGGCGACAGCUGGUGCUGUUCCUUCACUUUAAACCUCUUCCCUCCUUCACAUUUGCACAGGGAUUAGGGACCUGCCAUUCCCCCUCCCGCCGGCAUUCCCAGGAGGCUCCUGAGCCCCAUAUGGUGAAGCUCGGCUCUCCUCUGUCCUUGUGCUGGUGGGGCUUUGCAGCACAGGCAGGAAUCCCCCUCGGCUGGGAGUCUCGAGGGACACUGGAGCCUGCAGUGGCAGCUGUCUGCUGCCCCCAGCCUGGGGCAGAGCACCUGACUGCACUCUUUCAGUAGGCGCCUUUCACCAGAGUCCUUUAGAGCACUUUAAGGGUUAAGGGGCUUUUUGUUCUGUUCCCUGGAGAAUUCCAGCCCCUUGGGAAGGGUCCCCCACUGGCCCAGGUCUGAGCACCAUAGCCCCGUGGUGGCCUUGGACUGCAGACGUGCCUGUGCCAUCUCAUUGCUGUGAGCUGCCUCGCCUGGGCUGUGCCCUCUCUGCAAGUCUUCAUCCUGACUCCUCAGACACAGGACUUGAGUCAGAAUGUGCUCCUCUUGUAAAUCGACCGUCCUUCAAUUAAAAAAAAAAAAAAAAAAAAAAGAACGUGCUCCUUUGGCCCCCUGUGUAGUUUACAUUCUACAUUACGUUCCAGAAAAACUGGAAAAUGCUUAAUUUCCAACAAAAAUGAUCAUUCUGAUCAUUUAGAUAGUGCCACCAAUAACAUUUGAUUGUAUUUCCCUCUGUUCUUUAUUUUAAUGUGCAUAGAUUCUUAAAACAAUUAGUGGUAAUCUUACUAAUUACAUACUUCUGUAUGUAGCUUUUUCAUGUAACACUGUAGAAUGAGCAUUCUUAAAGAAAUGGUGUGGUUUUAAAACAUUUUCAGUGGCUACACUGUUGCUUCCUUGUGCAUCCCGUGUUGUUUUUGUUUCCCCCCACCUCCCGCUUGUCUUUAUUUUAAGCCUCAGAACUUCACCGAGCUGGAUGGUCAGGAGCCACCGUCGGGGUUGUUUGGGUGUAAUAUUAAUCCAGAGCUGCCAUGGUGCUGGGAGGAGGGGCCUGGGGCCCGAUGGGACAGAGGCUCCCAGCAUGGCCUCUUUGGCCCUUGGUGCCGUAGUCCUGGAACGGCCCCUGGCUGUUUCACGACGCCUCCGUGACUUACGCAGGGGUGAGGCGAUGGGGCACAGGUUCAGGUUGGCCCUCAGGACCCAUGGGCGCAUAAGUUGAGUUUCAUUUCCAGCCGUGGGCCUGGCACGGUGGCCCAGGUGCCGGGAACAUGCGGCUGUGACCCAGCUCUGUCUCCUUCCUUGAGCUCUUGGGUUUUCGGACCCUAGCUGUGUCCCACAGCCGGGCCUUCCCCUGAGCGCUCCUGUACUCACCCCGGAGUCGUCAGGUGCAUUUCACCCUCCCCUCGAGGGCCUGGGGACCACAGGGGUCUGGGCUUAGCCCCCUGAACGCCAGGACAGACACCAACCUUUUCUCCCAGUAUCUCUUAUUAACUACACUUCUGAUGAGGAUAAUGAUUAAUAACGGUGGUAACAAGCAGCAGCCUUUGUUCUCGGAGACCCAAAGCCACUUUCAGUUCUGUUGAUUUAUACCCCUUUCUCUUCCUUGUGAAAGGGUAAGUUGAGGCAUCGAGAGAUUUAAGAGUUUUGAGCUUGGCUUCCGAUCCUGACUCUGUCCUCUGUAAGUUCCAUUACUUAUCCACUGAGCCUCAGUCUCCUCAUCUGUACAACGAAAGCAGUGAUGCCUGACUUGCAAGGUUGAUGUGAGGAUCAAAUGAGAGUAUUUCUGCAAAAUUCUCUGGCACAUAAUAGGUGCCCAGUCAGUGUUGGGUUGUUGAUGUUGUUUAGGGUCACAAAAUGCACCACCCUCAAAGCCGGAGGGACUUGCCCGUCCAGCCCCUUCCCAGCUCAUGUUUCCCUGGAAUCCCUUCAACUGUGCGCUUACCUAGCCAGCUCCAGGCAGGAAGCUUUCCUGCUUGGCUGGUCAGAGGAGGCAGGCUGACCAGAGGUGCAGUUGUUUUCAGCUCCUUCUGGAUGGGACAUGGUGCCAGGUCGGGCCGUGCCCUCCUACACCCUGCCAAUCUGAGUGAAAGUAACUAGGACCCUUUCCUUCUGGCUUUUGUCUUAGACGGUGUUGAGAAGGCAGCUCCACGGGAAUGCGGGGUGCGGUGUCAUGAUUAACUUGCUAGUGUGCCUUUGUGGCCACGCUUGUCUGCAGGCUCUUGCUAGACCACCCCUCCCCGCCUCACCCACCACCGCCAAAAAACAACAACAUGAAGCCAAAGAGAGAGUCAUCUGAGGACAAGCUCUGGUUCUGGGUCCUUGUGCCCCAGUCUGAGGGCAUAUGGUUGGCUGUCUACUUCCAGGAGGCCGUGAGCUCUAGCCUGGCUAGACAGAGCCGGCCUUUGAGACUUCCAGAGAAGAAUCUUAUAAACUUGCUAGCCAUCUGCCCAAGACCUUGAGUUUUGGGUGCCAUUCCUGCUGAGGCCAUGAAGCAGUAGCACUGGCGUCACCUGGGGCCUAGUCGGAAAUGCAGAAUCUCAGGCCUCAUGCUAACCCUACUGAGUCAGAACUUGCAUUUUAAAAAGACCCCUAGGAGGGCUUCCCUGGUGGCGCAGUGGUUGAGAGUCCGCCUGCCGAUGCAGGGGACGCGGGUUCGUGCCCCGGUCCGGGAGGAUCCCGCGUGCCGCGGAGCGGCUGGGCCCGCGAGCCGUGGCCGCUGAGCCUGCGCGUCCGGAGCCUGUGCUCCGCAACGGGAGAGGCCACAGCGGUGAGA